rnacentral:rRNA from 1 species
CUUUCUUCGGAAUGUUCUUAGUGGCGAACGGGUGAGUAACGCGUAGGCAACCUGCCCUCUGGUUGGGGACAACAUUCCGAAAGGGAUGCUAAUACCGAAUGAGAUCCUCUUUCCGCAUGGAGAGAGGAUGAAAGAUGGCCUCUACUUGUAAGCUAUCGCCAGAAGAUGGGCCUGCGUCUGAUUAGCUUGUAGGUGAGGUAACGGCUCACCUAGGCGAUGAUCAGUAGCCGGUCUGAGAGGAUGAACGGCCACAUUGGGACUGAGACACGGCCCAAACUCCUACGGGAGGCAGCAGUGGGGAAUCUUCCGCAAUGGACGAAAGUCUGACGGAGCAACGCCGCGUGAGUGAUGAAGGCCUUCGGGUUGUAAAACUCUGUUGUCAGGGACGAAAGCACCGAUCUAUAAUACAUUUUGGUGUUGACGGUACCUGACGAGGAAGCCACGGCUAACUACGUGCCAGCAGCCGCGGUAAUACGUAGGUGGCAAGCGUUGUCCGGAAUUAUUGGGCGUAAAGAGCAUGUAGGCGGGCUUUUAAGUCCGACGUGAAAAUGCGGGGCUUAACCCCGUAUGGCGUUGGAUACUGGAAGUCUUGAGUGCAGGAGAGGAAAGGGGAAUUCCCAGUGUAGCGGUGUAAUGCGUAGAUAUUGGGAGGAACACCAGUGGCGAAGGCGCCUUUCUGGACUGUGUCUGACGCUGAGAUGCGAAAGCCAGGGUAGCAAACGGGAUCAGAUACCCCGGUAGUCCUGGCCGUAAACGAUGGGUACUAGGUGUAGGAGGUAUCGACCCCUUCUGUGCCGGAGUUAACGCAAUAAGUACCCCGCCUGGGGACUACGAUCGCA